UACGAAGGGGGCUAGCGUUGCUCGGAAUCACUGGGCGUAAAGCGCACGUAGGCGGCUUUCUAAGUCAGGGGUGAAAUCCUGGAGCUCAACUCCAGAACUGCCUUUGAUACUGGAGAGCUCGAGUCCGGAAGAGGUGAGUGGAACUCCGAGUGUAGAGGUGAAAUUCGUAGAUAUUCGGAAGAACACCAGUGGCGAAGGCGGCUCACUGGACCGGUAUUGACGCUGAGGUGCGAAAGCGUGGGGAGCAAACAGG
rnacentral:rRNA from 1 species